GUCCCGUUACAGGUCGGAACCCUACUGGUUUCAGGUAGAACGCGGUCUGGUUUCCAAGUCGGACCUAGGCCGACCCUGGCCCCAGUCCAGAAAAAGAAAUGCUGAAGUCUGAAAAUUCCUGACAGAAAGCUGCAGUGUGAGGAUUGGAGAGAGGCUCGGUUACGACCUCUGGAAGCAGCAAGAAAGCGUGAGCUCAGGAGCUCAGCAGGCAUCCAUCCUUUUGUUUUGUCUGAUAUUUUUCAAGGAUCCUUAGGCUCUCAAGAUCUCAAUGAAGUGCCACUUGAUAUAGUCACACAGGCUGUGACUGAAGGGUCCUGGAGGCUGGGGAGUUAAUGGAGCUCAGAAGCCUACUGCACUGCAGUCAAGCACAGUGCCAGACAAUUUCCUUGUGACAAACCUGAGUUAAUUCACUGGAGGAAUGUGGGAAACACGUGGAGGAGAGCAGUCAUUUCAGCCAAGGCCACCUAAUUCAGCAGGUCCGCAGCCGGCCUGUACACUGACUGCAGACACGUGAGUGGGCCAAGACAACAUGAACCAGGCCAAGCCCAGGUCGCCAGAGCUGCCCGAUCCUUCUAGACUUGAGUCUCCUUUGUACUCCCAGUACAUACACUUCUGUAACUUUGCCACACCAUCAUAUGAGACAUACCCAGAUGUGUUCCUGUCCUGGUCCAGGAUGGAGCUGGGAUAUCCCAUUGCAGCUGUUUUGAAAUCUGCCGCCUGUGUCCAGAGAGGAGCAUGGGGAGCCGAGAGUGAGAACAUUUAAGACUUACCUUCCUGGCAACUUUCAGAGUGUGCAUGAAGGUUGCCAGAACCUUAAUUUCAAACUGCAUCAUUUAAUAAGAUACAAUACGGAGAAUUAGGAAGAAAGGCUGCAGGGGAACAUCAUGCUUAUUAUCUUUGUAAUGAGAGGACUAUUUUUUCUUCCAUCAAUUGCCAGUGAUGGUUUUUUUUGUUUCCUUUCGUCCGCGUACAAUUGUGAUGUUCAAUGAGAGGAAUGUGAAGUGCCACUUUAAAGCCAAACAUUCAAUUCCUCCUAAUUCACAAGGGAGAGAAGGAGCAAGUCGUGCAGCUGGGAGGUGAUGUUUCUUCCCAGCAGCUGUCAUUGAAGAGACACGUGCAAGCCAUAGAAGUCAUCUGCCACAAGAACCCAUCCAGAAUUUGCUAUGUGCAUCUCCCUUACUAACGUGACAUGAAAUAGUGAAGCUUUCAAAAUCAAGUACUGAGACUUCGUUCUUUUGACAUGGGUAAAAUGAAAUGGAGAGCUAAGGCAAUUAUGUGGAUAAAUCAGGCCAAAAAUAUCCAACCAUUGAGGGGAAAACUUCUUUCGGCUCGAAUUAUUCAGAGUGACUGUCCAUGUUCAUCAAUCGGUCAGGAUAAUGAGUUUUAUCCUAUACUUUGCUUUGUCACUAUAGAUAUAUCUUUAGUCUAUGCAUUUGAAUGACUUUGUGAUAUUUCAUUUCACUGGAAAUUAUAAUAAUUGAAUUUGCAAGCACUGUGUUAAAAAAUUGCUACUGCAGUCCAAGAGAUAAUAGUCUAAGAGAAUUUAAACUUCAUUAUUCUGUAGCUAGCAGGGUUAUUGGAAUGGAGGUAGAAAGAGAGGUAUGAAAUCUGUUGGAAAUCAAAUGCUUGUAACUAAGCUGUCCCUCCCAUUUAGCAUCCCAUUAUCUUAAAAUAUCUUGGUCUGUAGCUUAAUCUGCUUUUCUGGUCAUUUGACAACUGGUUAAAUGAGCCUGAAAAUUUCAUCAGGUCCCAUACAAAAAUAAUGUAUUUUUAUAUUAUACAUACAAGUGACUCCUUUUGUGUACUGUUAAUAUCCCAUAUUUAUAUACAAAGAGCUAAAUGUUUCAGAUAUGUGAAGGAUAAGCAAGGUCAGUCCUUAUGUCUGCCAGUGCAUUGGCAUGGAGCUUCCUACCUAGAAUCUCAAGUGUGCUUCACCUACAGCUAUCCUUCCUGGGUCUUCAUGCUUUCAGAGCCACCAGAAUCACCUCAGGAAGUCCAGGGUCUCCCAGCAGGCCGAGGGAGAACUUCUGAGCACCUAGUUACUACCUUGGGUGGCCUGGUCCUGCCAGUCUACUGUACGUGAGGGACAACUCAUCACUCAGAAGUUACAAAUCAUGAACGUGUUCACUGAAGCAACACAAUACUAAAUAAGAAACAAGUGCUUCAUAUUGACAGACUUAAAAAAAAAAUCUCUACCAUGAAACUGCACCAUGAGGAGCGACCCAGAAGAAUGACUCUAUUGCUUCCAGUCACAAUAACAAUAUGAAAUUUUGGUUUUCAAAAUGGAAUAAUAUGUGUACUUUCCCAUUGAAAAAAUACUUUGCAUAAAAUUAUCAGGAAAAAAACUAAAGGAGAAAUAAAUAUCACCUAGAAUUAAAUUAAUCAGAGAUAACCACUUGUGGAAGGAAUGUUUGUGACUCCUCCUGUCAAAAUUCAGAGGUUGAAACCCUAAACCCACAGUGAUGGUAUUUGGAGACUGGAUCUUUGGGAGGGAGUAAAGGUAAUAAGCCCUGAUCCAGUAGGGCUGGUUCUCUAAUAAGAGGAAGAGACGCCAGAGCUCUUUCACUGCUGCGUGAGGACGCAGCAGGAAGGAGGCCGUUUGCAAACCAGGAGGAGGGUGCUCACUGGAAACUAUGCUGGCACCUUCAUCUUGGAUUCCUACCUACAGAACUGGGAGGAAACGAAUAUCUGUUGUUUAAGCCAUCUGUUUUAUGGUAUUGUUAUGACAGCCCAGACAAACUGAUAUCGACUAAUAUUUUAUAUGCUUUUAUACUUUAAUAUCCUUCCAGGCUAAAAUAUAUCCACAUAUAUACAUACAUAAAUACAUACAGAUAUGGCACUAUACCCACUGUUUUCUAUCAGCGCUGUCCAAUAGAUAUAUCUGGUGAAUCACACACAUAAUUGAAAAUAUUUUAGUGGCCAUAUUGAAAAAUUUGUCUUUAAAAAGGUGGAAAUUACUUUAAUAUGUUUAAUUUAAUCCAAUAUAUCUAGAAUUUUGUCAUUUUGACAUGUAAUCAAUAUGAAAAUUACUCUUGAGAUAGCUUAUGUUCUUUUUACAUUCUGAGUCCUUGAUAUGUGGAGUAUAUUUUAUACGUAUUGUACAUUUUAGUUUCUGUUGGCCACAUUUCAAGUACUACAGACAGCCACCAUUUGGACAGAGCAGGUUGAGAUCAAGGGCUUUUAGUCCUGGAUUUGAGUUGGGACUCGGUGCUUUAAUUGCCGAUGGCCUUGGGCAAUUUAAUUAACCCUCUAAGCCUUGGAUUCCUUGUGUUUAAAAUGCAAGUAAGCAAAGUAUCUAUAUUAAAGGAUUGUCAUGAUGCUUAAUCGAUAUGGUAAAACAUUUACACUGCAUGGUGGACAGCACUCAAUAAAUUUUGGCAAAAAUUACUUUUGUAGUUCUAGAGUAUGAAUCCUCAUUUUAUAAUAAAUGCUCAU